CAGUCAGCAGGCCAGGCCGAUACAGAAGUCACCUAAAAAAACAAGGAAAUACGUAGGUUGUACAGAUCGAUCGCUCGAACUCCCUGUCUCUUCGUUUCCACACAGGCGGCGAGCGCAGGGACUGGCGGCUGGGGCUAGAGCCCUAGACGGCUAGACGCAAGGCCGGCGGGCGGCGGCGAGCGGACGCAAGGCGUCCAGACAGUCUACUCGUCCGGUCUUCCCUCAACCUCCUCCUUCUUCUCAUUCCGCCUCGGCUCUGUUCGGAGAGGGAGAGCUUCUUGCACCAGCGCACAUCACUGAACUUCUUCAAGUAGAGAAGAUAAAACAUAUUACAGGUUACUCUGUGUUUAUUUUCAGAGAUGAGGACUUUUUUGGUUAAUAGACCAAGCACUGAAAAUGCGAAUAGUGUGCAACCGGACAUAGAACUGGAGGCACACCCACCUCCUAACAUUGCCAAUGAGGAGGUUUUCUACUUGUGAUGAUGUUCAAAGUUUGGCCGUGAAGAUGGUUGAAACUGAGAAACAUUUGGUAUUUUGACUGGUAUACAAACUUAUUGAGUUGGCCUUGAUAUUGCCGGUGUCAACGGUAUCUGUUGAAAGAGCUUUUUCAGGAAUGAAGAUUAUCAAGACUAAACUACGUAGCAAGAUCAAUAAUGAAUGGUUCAAUGACUUGUUGAUGAUAAGGAUAUUAUUCGAACAUUUACUGCAAUGAGCUCUCGGAAGGGGCAUUUGCCUCGUGAUUUUGUUUAGUGGGGUGUCGUGCCUUCUAGAACUUUGGCAACAUGGCGAGUUUGCCUCUAUACAAAGGCUGUCUGUAUGUCUUUAUUUUGGCAAAAAUUAACGAGUAAGAGAUGCUUUCCUUUUGUUGACAUGUCUCAACUUUAUUUGGUUUAUGAAGCGGAUAUUGAUAUAUUAGCUCACUUUAAAAACAAAUUUUGUGUCACUGUUAUGGUUA